rnacentral:lncRNA from 1 species
GUCCUGAUAUAAUGCUGUGUUCUCUCCAGGUUGGUACAGGUGUCUAUAGGUCCUGAUAUAAUGCUGUGUUCUCUCCAGGUUGGUCCAGGUGUCUAUAGGUCCUGAUAUAAUGUUGUGUUCUCUCCAGGUUGGUUCAGGUGUCUAUAGGUCCUGAUAUAAUGCUGUGUUCUCUCCAGGUUGGUCCAGGUGUCUAUAGGUCCUGAUAUAAUGCUGUGUUCUCUCCAGGUUGGUCCAGGUGUCUAUAGGUCCUGAUAUAAUGCUGUGUUCUCUCCAGGUUGGUCCAGGUGUCUGUAGGUCCUGAUAUAAUGUUGUGUUCUCUCCAGGUUGGUCCAGGUGUCUAUAGGUCCUGAUAUAAUGCUGUGUUCUCUCCAGGUUGGUCCAGGUGUCUAUAGGUCCUGAUAUAAUGUUGUGUUCUCUCCAGGUUGGUCCAGGUGUCUAUAGGUCCUGAUAUAAUGUUGUGUUCUCUCCAGGUUGGUCCAGGUGUCUAUAGGUCCUGAUAUAAUGCUGUGUUCUCUCCAGGUUGGUCCAGGUGUCUGUAGGUCCUGAUAUAAUGUUGUGUUCUCUCCAGGUUGGUCCAGGUGUCUAUAGGUCCUGAUAUAAUGCUGUGUUCUCUCCAGGUUGGUCCAGGUGUCUAUAGGUCCUGAUAUAAUGCUGUG